CAAGUCGAACGGGUGUACGGGAAGGAAGGCUUCGGCCGGAAAACCUGUGCAUGAGUGGCGGACGGGUGAGUAACGCGUGGGCAACCUGGCCUGUACAGGGGGAUAACACUUAGAAAUAGGUGCUAAUACCGCAUAACGGGGGAAGCCGCAUGGCUUUUCCCUGAAAACUCCGGUGGUACAGGAUGGGCCCGCGUCUGAUUAGCCAGUUGGCAGGGUAACGGCCUACCAAAGCGACGAUCAGUAGCCGGCCUGAGAGGGCGGACGGCCACACUGGGACUGAGACACGGCCCAGUCUCCUACGGGAGGCAGCAGUGGGGGAUAUUGCACAAUGGGGGGAACCCUGAUGCAGCGACGCCGCGUGGGUGAAGAAGCGCCUCGGCGCGUAAAGCCCUGUCAGCAGGGAAGAAAAUGACGGUACCUGAAGAAGAAGCCCCGGCUAACUACGUGCCAGCAGCCGCGGUAAUACGUAGGGGGCAAGCGUUAUCCGGAUUUACUGGGUGUAAAGGGGGCGCAGACGGCGAUGCAAGCCAGGAGUGAAAGCCCGGGGCCCAACCCCGGGACUGCUCUUGGAACUGCGUGGCUGGAGUGCAGGAGGGGCAGGCGGAAUUCCUGGUGUAGCGGUGAAAUGCGUAGAUAUAUGGAAGAACACCAGUGGCGAAAGCGGCUCUCUGGUCUGUAACUGACGC
rnacentral:rRNA from 1 species